rnacentral:rRNA from 1 species
GGAUUGCAGCUGCAACUCGACUGCAUGAAGCUGGAAUCGCUAGUAAUCGCGAAUCAGCAUGUCGCGGUGAAUACGUUCCCGGGUCUUGUACACACCGCCCGUCACACCAUGGGAGUCGGAAAUGCCCGAAGCCAGUGACCCAACCUUUAAGGAGGAAGCUGUCGAAGGCAGGUCUGGUAACUGGGGUGAAGUCGUAACAAGGUACC